UACAGAGGGUGCGAGCGUUAAUCGGAAUUACGGGGCGUAAAGCGUGCGUAGACGGUAGCGUAAGUCAGAUGUGAAAGCCCCGGGCUCAACCUGGGAAUUGCAUUUGAGACUGCUCUGCUCGGGUGCGGAAGAGGGAAGCGGAAUUUCCGGUGUAGCGGUGAAAUGCGUAGAUAUCGGAAGGAACACCAGUGGCGAAAGCGGCUUCCUGGUCCGACACCGACGUUCAGGCACGAAAGCGUGGGGAGCAAACAGG
rnacentral:rRNA from 1 species